rnacentral:rRNA from 1 species
GACGAACGCUGGCGGCGUGCUUAACACAUGCAAGUCGAACGGAAAGGCCCUGCUUUUGUGGGGUGCUCGAGUGGCGAACGGGUGAGUAGCACGUGAGUAACCUGCCCUUGACUUUGGGAUAACUUCAGGAAACUGGGGCUAAUACCGGAUAGGAGCUCCUGCUGCAUGGUGGGGGUUGGAAAGUUUCGGCGGUUGGGGAUGGACUCGCGGCCUAUCAGCUUGUUGGUGGGGUAGUGGCUUACCAAGGCUUUGACGGGUAGCCGGCCUGAGAGGGUGACCGGCCACAUUGGGACUGAGAUACGGCCCAGACUCCUACGGGAGGCAGCAGUGGGGAAUAUUGCACAAUGGGCGGAAGCCUGAUGCAGCAACGCCGCGUGCGGGAUGACGGCCUUCGGGUUGUAAACCGCUUUCGCCUGUGACGAAGCGUGAGUGACGGUAAUGGGUAAAGAAGCACCGGCUAACUACGUG